rnacentral:rRNA from 1 species
UACAGAGGCCCCAAGCAUUAUCCGGAUUUACUGGGCGUAAAGGGUGCGUAGGCGGUUUUAUUAGUCAGGUGUUAAAUCCUCGGGCUCAACCCGAGAAUCGCAUUUGAAACGGUAAGACUAGAAGAAGUCAGAGGCAAGCAGAACUCACGGUGUAGGGGUGAAAUCCGUUGAUAUCGUGGGGAAUACCAAAUGCGAAGGCAGCUUGCUGGGACUUUCUUGACGCUGAGGCACGAAAGCGUGGGUAGCGAAGCGG